rnacentral:rRNA from 1 species
CGGGACCGGGUGAGUAAUGUCUGGGAAACUGCCUGAUGAGGGGGAGUAACUACUGGAAACGGUAGCUAAUACCGCAUAACGUCGCAAGACCAAAGAGGGGGACCUUCGGGCCUCUUGCCAUCGGAUGUGCCCAGAUGGGAUUAGCUAGUAGGUGGGGUAACGGCUCACCUAGGCGACGAUCCCUAGCUGGUCUGAGAGGAUGACCAGCCACACUGGAACUGAGACACGGUCCAG